rnacentral:rRNA from 1 species
CAUUACCGAGUUUACAACUCCCAAACCCAAUGUGAACGUUACCAAACUGUUGCCUCGGCGGGAUCUCUGCCCCGGGUGCGUCGCAGCCCCGGACCAAGGCGCCCGCCGGAGGACCAACCAAAACUCUUAUUGUAUACCCCCUCGCGGGUUUUUUUAUAAUCUGAGCCUUCUCGGCGCCUCUCGUAGGCGUUUCGAAAAUGAAUCAAAACUUUCAACAACGGAUCUCUUGGUUCUGGCAUCGAUGAAGAACGCAGCGAAAUGCGAUAAGUAAUGUGAAUUGCAGAAUUCAGUGAAUCAUCGAAUCUUUGAACGCACAUUGCGCCCGCCAGUAUUCUGGCGGGCAUGCCUGUCCGAGCGUCAUUUCAACCCUCGAACCCCUCCGGGGGGUCGGCGUUGGGGAUCGGCCCUCCCUUAGCGGGUGGCCGUCUCCGAAAUACAGUGGCGGUCUCGCCGCAGCCUCUCCUGCGCAGUAGUUUGCACACUCGCAUCGGGAGCGCGGCGCGUCCACAGCCGUUAAACACCCAACUUCUGAAAUGUUGACCUCGGAUCAGG